GAUGAACGCUGGCGGCGUGCCUAAUACAUGCAAGUCGAGCGAACAGACGAGGAGCUUGCUCCUCUGACGUUAGCGGCGGACGGGUGAGUAACACGUGGAUAACCUACCUAUAAGACUGGGAUAACUUCGGGAAACCGGAGCUAAUACCGGAUAAUAUAUUUAACCGCAUGGUUCAAUAGUUAAAGACGGUUUUGCUGUCACUUAUAGAUGGAUCCGCGCCGCAUUAGCUAGUUGGUAAGGUAACGGCUUACCAAGGCAACGAUGCGUAGCCGACCUGAGAGGGUGAUCGGCCACACUGGAACUGAGACACGGUCCAGAGUCCUACGGGAGGCAGCAGUAGGGAAUCUUCCGCAAUGGGCGAAAGCCUGACGGAGCAACGCCGCGUGAGUGAUGAAGGUCUUCGGAUCGUAAAACUCUGUUAUUAGGGAAGAACAAAUGUGUAAGUAACUAUGCACGUCUUGACGGUACCUAAUCAGAAAGACACGGCUAACUACGUG
rnacentral:rRNA from 1 species